UGCACGUGACAUUGUGCUCACAGACGAACACGGAGGGGGCCGCUGAGCGGGGCUGGACGCAGGCCGCCGCUUGGCUGGCUCCAUGCCUGAGCCUUGAUUGACAGAAGUUACUGCCCAUGCCUCUCCAGACUAAUAGCACUAUAGGCCUCAAUAACUAGGCUGGGGAGACAAUUGAUCAUCCAACUCACAGCAUAUCUCUCUCAAUUUAGUAGCACACAUCUCUUUUUUGUUUUUGACAACACAUUGUUAUUAAGGGAUAUUUUAACACUGCACACUUGGCAACAUUCCACUCAGCCCAACAGAGUGAUCAGGAUCCAAACUGUAAACUUUUCAAAGUUCUAUUUUGACCUAAAAAACCCCCACAAUUAAAUGAAAUAAGUGGAUUCAGUAAUACUGGUAGUGUGAUUCCACCUCAUGAUUAUUCAGCAGUGAAUAAGGACACAAGAAGCAGCUCAACCCAGAGGUCUACUACCACCUUUGCUAACUCCAGAGAUGAUCCAGAAAGCAGGGGAAGGGGUUUACUGAGUCGUAUAGAGAAAGCUGACCUAAUCAGCUGGCAGCAUUGGCACCAGAUAAAAGGACCAAUGAAGUGCUUCUUCUCAGUAAUGGUUGUGUGUUGUGCACAAUGCGGUGAAUUGCUGCAGGAAAAUGAUCUUAGGAAUACAAGCAGGCUAUGGCUUUUCUUCUCAUGGUCUGAGAAAAGACAGAUUUCUCUAUUCGGGGUUCACAG